UUCAGCGUCGCAUCGCAAGGUGCGGCGUGCACUUUGCCUUUAGUAGGACGUUGCGAUACGUUAGGAAUCGGGGUCCGUAAUGGGCCGCCAGUAGGCUAUCAAAAGGCCGGCACAAAGUUCGAGGUGGCAAAUAGCGUGGGUCGUAGCGGCCUCGCAUAUUGCCCCGCGAGUGUGCCUGGUGCUGCUGUAGCUGCCUGACGUGUCUUACCGGCCAGCAUCGCUUAAUCCUUUCGGGGAUUACCCGCCUCUYGGGGUGGGAUUGAUGCGGCGCGAUCGGCAACGGUUAAAUUUGGGAUACCUUUGGGACCCGUCUUGAAACACGGACCAAGGAGUCUAUCUAGUGUGCGAGUAAGUGAGCCCCAUUGAAACUCACUUGCGGAAAAAACUUGACUGUUGUGGGACUACGAUUGCCGUUCACGCGUGCUUUCCUCCGUCCCGGGGUAUCUUCAUCACAUGCCGUUACCCGUUCACGGGUUGGCGGCAUAGAAGAUAUACCAUGAGCAUACUGGAUAUGACCCGAAAGAUGGUGAACUAUGCCUGAUCAGGUUGAAGUCAGGGGAAACCCUGAUGGAGGACCGAAGCAAUUCUGACGUGCAAAUCG
rnacentral:rRNA from 1 species